AAUUGUGAAAAUGAUGGUAAGUAUUUUUUUAUUUAUACCUAGAUAUCCCAGAUGAUUUCAGAUAACCAUUAUAGAUAAAUACCAGCAGAUACUCAAUGAAAUUUUCGCUUUUAGAAAGCAUUGCAGGCACGGGGCUGAACACUUUUUUUAGGCACAAUUCAAACUUUGUUUACACCCCGAGAGAUCCGAAAGGAAUUUGUUUAUGAAUUGAAAAAGGCAUGAACUAACAUAAUAGUUUUAUCUGUAAGUAAACAUGACACAAUACAGUCUUUGUUAUGUAAUUAUCACUCCGGUUUACAGGAAUAACUGAUAAUCAAGGGAGAUAACACACUCCAUACGAGUAAAGUGAAAUACAUCAUCAUCAUGUGCUUUUAUCCAAUAAUUUGACCCAUGGUCAGUCAGUAGAUAUCAUAUGCAGUUAAUAAACAGACAAACAUGUACAUGUAUUAAAGAAAUCAUGAAUUAUUAUUUGUAAUGCACACUAGCAAAUCACAAGAUAUUGUCUUUUCUCAGUGAAAAAGGGGGAGGGUCAACAAACCUUUCGAAAACAAUAUUGCUGCACCUUUUCAACUAUUAAGCUAGUUAGCUACCACUCGUUGCUUCUAAUAUAAAAGAUUUAAAUGAAGGUUGAUAAGCCACAAGGGAGAAGCAUUUUUCUUUCUUUGCGAUAAAACAUUCAAGAAUUUGAUUUUUGCUCUCUCAAUAAUACUUAUGUAUUUAAACCAAAUAAUAACACAGCCUGAGUAAUUUUUUUUUCUUAUUUCAGUUCCAGACAUAUCAUUACUUUUUAACCUGAGAUGACAAACUAGAGGUGUUAAAAGGUCCUGAAUAACUGAAAUGGACAAAAAUACACAGAUUUAUUCAGAAUGUCAUACCUAUGAAGAUCACAUAAAAAUAUUUGGAAAAAUCAGAACUAUGGAUUGCAAUAUGGGACAACAUCCCUAAUGCGCCUUGAAAUGAGGAACUCAAAAGUCAUGUGUAAAGAAAAAAUCUCUGUGUAGUGAUAUUGGACAUGUUUCUAUUUUUAACAAAUGACUGAACUUAAUUAUUUGUGGUGAUUAGGAAAGUAGAGGAACAUAGAAUAAAUGUGUAAAAACUAUGGAGCUAUUGAAUGUGUUCAAAGUAUUAAAUUUUCAAAGAACUUAUUGUGUUAAAAAGUGGAUAUUUUACCACAAGGAGCCGCAUCACAAAAGGAUGUUCGGGGUUUGCUAAUUUACGGAAAAAGUAAUCUCACUUCGUACCCCGAAAAUUUAACCACAUAUGUGAAAAUGUCACAGCUUCGAAACGAGCUAUCAUACAUAUCCAAGUUUACGAUAUGGACUGAUCUACAGGAAAAAACGUUACCAUUAUCGCCUAUGGGAAAACAAUUAAAGAUAUUGAGCCAAUUUACAAAAAGAUAAAUCAGAAGUUUCCAGAGUGAUCUAUGGAUGAUUUCACCUUGUACACCCGGGAAAAUUGUGAAAAUGAUGUUCCAGACAUAUCAUUACUUUUUAACCUGAGAUGACAAACUAGAGGUGUUAAAAGGUCCUGAAUAACUGAAAUGGACAAAAAUACACAGAUUUAUUCAGAAUGUCAUACCUAUGAAGAUCACAUAAAAAUAUUUGGAAAAAUCAGAACUAUGGAUUGCAAUAUGGGACAACAUCCCUAAUGCGCCUUGAAAUGAGGAACUCAAAAGUCAUGUGUAAAGAAAAAAUCUCUGUGUAGUGAUAUUGGACAUGUUUCUAUUUUUAACAAAUGACUGAACUUAAUUAUUUGUGGUGAUUAGGAAAGUAGAGGAACAUAGAAUAAAUGUGUAAAAACUAUGGAGCUAUUGAAUGUGUUCAAAGUAUUAAAUUUUCAAAGAACUUAUUGUGUUAAAAAGUGGAUAUUUUACCACAAGGAGCCGCAUCACAAAAGGAUGUUCGGGGUUUGCUAAUUUACGGAAAAAGUAAUCUCACUUCGUACCCCGAAAAUUUAACCACAUAUGUGAAAAUGUCACAGCUUCGAAACGAGCUAUCAUACAUAUCCAAGUUUACGAUAUGGACUGAUCUACAGGAAAAAACGUUACCAUUAUCGCCUAUGGGAAAACAAUUAAAGAUAUUGAGCCAAUUUACAAAAAGAUAAAUCAGAAGUUUCCAGAGUGAUCUAUGGAUGAUUUCACCUUGUACACCCGGGAAAAUUGUGAAAAUGAUGUUCCAGACAUAUCAUUACUUUUUAACCUGAGAUGACAAACUAGAGGUGUUAAAAGGUCCUGAAUAACUGAAAUGGACAAAAAUACACAGAUUUAUUCAGAAUGUCAUACCUAUGAAGAUCACAUAAAAAUAUUUGGAAAAAUCAGAACUAUGGAUUGCAAUAUGGGACAACAUCCCUAAUGCGCCUUGAAAUGAGGAACUCAAAAGUCAUGUGUAAAGAAAAAAUCUCUGUGUAGUGAUAUUGGACAUGUUUCUAUUUUUAACAAAUGACUGAACUUAAUUAUUUGUGGUGAUUAGGAAAGUAGAGGAACAUAGAAUAAAUGUGUAAAAACUAUGGAGCUAUUGAAUGUGUUCAAAGUAUUAAAUUUUCAAAGAACUUAUUGUGUUAAAAAGUGGAUAUUUUACCACAAGGAGCCGCAUCACAAAAGGAUGUUCGGGGUUUGCUAAUUUACGGAAAAAGUAAUCUCACUUCGUACCCCGAAAAUUUAACCACAUAUGUGAAAAUGUCACAGCUUCGAAACGAGCUAUCAUACAUAUCCAAGUUUACGAUAUGGACUGAUCUACAGGAAAAAACGUUACCAUUAUCGCCUAUGGGAAAACAAUUAAAGAUAUUGAGCCAAUUUACAAAAAGAUAAAUCAGAAGUUUCCAGAGUGAUCUAUGGAUGAUUUCACCUUGUACACCCGGGAAAAUUGUGAAAAUGAUGUUCCAGACAUAUCAUUACUUUUUAACCUGAGAUGACAAACUAGAGGUGUUAAAAGGUCCUGAAUAACUGAAAUGGACAAAAAUACACAGAUUUAUUCAGAAUGUCAUACCUAUGAAGAUCACAUAAAAAUAUUUGGAAAAAUCAGAACUAUGGAUUGCAAUAUGGGACAACAUCCCUAAUGCGCCUUGAAAUGAGGAACUCAAAAGUCAUGUGUAAAGAAAAAAUCUCUGUGUAGUGAUAUUGGACAUGUUUCUAUUUUUAACAAAUGACUGAACUUAAUUAUUUGUGGUGAUUAGGAAAGUAGAGGAACAUAGAAUAAAUGUGUAAAAACUAUGGAGCUAUUGAAUGUGUUCAAAGUAUUAAAUUUUCAAAGAACUUAUUGUGUUAAAAAGUGGAUAUUUUACCACAAGGAGCCGCAUCACAAAAGGAUGUUCGGGGUUUGCUAAUUUACGGAAAAAGUAAUCUCACUUCGUACCCCGAAAAUUUAACCACAUAUGUGAAAAUGUCACAGCUUCGAAACGAGCUAUCAUACAUAUCCAAGUUUACGAUAUGGACUGAUCUACAGGAAAAAACGUUACCAUUAUCGCCUAUGGGAAAACAAUUAAAGAUAUUGAGCCAAUUUACAAAAAGAUAAAUCAGAAGUUUCCAGAGUGAUCUAUGGAUGAUUUCACCUUGUACACCCGGGAAAAUUGUGAAAAUGAUGUUCCAGACAUAUCAUUACUUUUUAACCUGAGAUGACAAACUAGAGGUGUUAAAAGGUCCUGAAUAACUGAAAUGGACAAAAAUACACAGAUUUAUUCAGAAUGUCAUACCUAUGAAGAUCACAUAAAAAUAUUUGGAAAAAUCAGAACUAUGGAUUGCAAUAUGGGACAACAUCCCUAAUGCGCCUUGAAAUGAGGAACUCAAAAGUCAUGUGUAAAGAAAAAAUCUCUGUGUAGUGAUAUUGGACAUGUUUCUAUUUUUAACAAAUGACUGAACUUAAUUAUUUGUGGUGAUUAGGAAAGUAGAGGAACAUAGAAUAAAUGUGUAAAAACUAUGGAGCUAUUGAAUGUGUUCAAAGUAUUAAAUUUUCAAAGAACUUAUUGUGUUAAAAAGUGGAUAUUUUACCACAAGGAGCCGCAUCACAAAAGGAUGUUCGGGGUUUGCUAAUUUACGGAAAAAGCAAUCUCACUUCGUACCCCGAAAAUUUAACCACAUAUGUGAAAAUGUCACAGCUUCGAAACGAGCUAUCAUACAUAUCCAAGUUUACGAUAUGGACUGAUCUACAGGAAAAAACGUUACCAUUAUCGCCUAUGGGAAAACAAUUAAAGAUAUUGAGCCAAUUUACAAAAAGAUAAAUCAGAAGUUUCCAGAGUGAUCUAUGGAUGAUUUCACCUUGUACACCCGGGAAAAUUGUGAAAAUGAUGUUCCAGACAUAUCAUUACUUUUUAACCUGAGAUGACAAACUAGAGGUGUUAAAAGGUCCUGAAUAACUGAAAUGGACAAAAAUACACAGAUUUAUUCAGAAUGUCAUACCUAUGAAGAUCACAUAAAAAUAUUUGGAAAAAUCAGAACUAUGGAUUGCAAUAUGGGACAACAUCCCUAAUGCGCCUUGAAAUGAGGAACUCAAAAGUCAUGUGUAAAGAAAAAAUCUCUGUGUAGUGAUAUUGGACAUGUUUCUAUUUUUAACAAAUGACUGAACUUAAUUAUUUGUGGUGAUUAGGAAAGUAGAGGAACAUAGAAUAAAUGUGUAAAAACUAUGGAGCUAUUGAAUGUGUUCAAAGUAUUAAAUUUUCAAAGAACUUAUUGUGUUAAAAAGUGGAUAUUUUACCACAAGGAGCCGCAUCACAAAAGGAUGUUCGGGGUUUGCUAAUUUACGGAAAAAGUAAUCUCACUUCGUACCCCGAAAAUUUAACCACAUAUGUGAAAAUGUCACAGCUUCGAAACGAGCUAUCAUACAUAUCCAAGUUUACGAUAUGGACUGAUCUACAGGAAAAAACGUUACCAUUAUCGCCUAUGGGAAAACAAUUAAAGAUAUUGAGCCAAUUUACAAAAAGAUAAAUCAGAAGUUUCCAGAGUGAUCUAUGGAUGAUUUCACCUUGUACACCCGGGAAAAUUGUGAAAAUGAUGUUCCAGACAUAUCAUUACUUUUUAACCUGAGAUGACAAACUAGAGGUGUUAAAAGGUCCUGAAUAACUGAAAUGGACAAAAAUACACAGAUUUAUUCAGAAUGUCAUACCUAUGAAGAUCACAUAAAAAUAUUUGGAAAAAUCAGAACUAUGGAUUGCAAUAUGGGACAACAUCCCUAAUGCGCCUUGAAAUGAGGAACUCAAAAGUCAUGUGUAAAGAAAAAAUCUCUGUGUAGUGAUAUUGGACAUGUUUCUAUUUUUAACAAAUGACUGAACUUAAUUAUUUGUGGUGAUUAGGAAAGUAGAGGAACAUAGAAUAAAUGUGUAAAAACUAUGGAGCUAUUGAAUGUGUUCAAAGUAUUAAAUUUUCAAAGAACUUAUUGUGUUAAAAAGUGGAUAUUUUACCACAAGGAGCCGCAUCACAAAAGGAUGUUCGGGGUUUGCUAAUUUACGGAAAAAGCAAUCUCACUUCGUACCCCGAAAAUUUAACCACAUAUGUGAAAAUGUCACAGCUUCGAAACGAGCUAUCAUACAUAUCCAAGUUUACGAUAUGGACUGAUCUACAGGAAAAAACGUUACCAUUAUCGCCUAUGGGAAAACAAUUAAAGAUAUUGAGCCAAUUUACAAAAAGAUAAAUCAGAAGUUUCCAGAGUGAUCUAUGGAUGAUUUCACCUUGUACACCCGGGAAAAUUGUGAAAAUGAUGUUCCAGACAUAUCAUUACUUUUUAACCUGAGAUGACAAACUAGAGGUGUUAAAAGGUCCUGAAUAACUGAAAUGGACAAAAAUACACAGAUUUAUUCAGAAUGUCAUACCUAUGAAGAUCACAUAAAAAUAUUUGGAAAAAUCAGAACUAUGGAUUGCAAUAUGGGACAACAUCCCUAAUGCGCCUUGAAAUGAGGAACUCAAAAGUCAUGUGUAAAGAAAAAAUCUCUGUGUAGUGAUAUUGGACAUGUUUCUAUUUUUAACAAAUGACUGAACUUAAUUAUUUGUGGUGAUUAGGAAAGUAGAGGAACAUAGAAUAAAUGUGUAAAAACUAUGGAGCUAUUGAAUGUGUUCAAAGUAUUAAAUUUUCAAAGAACUUAUUGUGUUAAAAAGUGGAUAUUUUACCACAAGGAGCCGCAUCACAAAAGGAUGUUCGGGGUUUGCUAAUUUACGGAAAAAGCAAUCUCACUUCGUACCCCGAAAAUUUAACCACAUAUGUGAAAAUGUCACAGCUUCGAAACGAGCUAUCAUACAUAUCCAAGUUUACGAUAUGGACUGAUCUACAGGAAAAAACGUUACCAUUAUCGCCUAUGGGAAAACAAUUAAAGAUAUUGAGCCAAUUUACAAAAAGAUAAAUCAGAAGUUUCCAGAGUGAUCUAUGGAUGAUUUCACCUUGUACACCCGGGAAAAUUGUGAAAAUGAUGAUUGGUUUUGAAAAGAAGAAAUGACAAAAGGAGGUUUUGUUGUAUUAUUAUAUACCAUUAUACACGUAACUGUGGCAUGGAAACAAUCAUUGACAUUUUCAGAUUGUUGGUCUAUAUAUUAUGUAAAUAAUGACCACUCAUAUGAAAUCACAUGGAAUGGGGGUGAAAUAAAUUCGCCUUGUGAAGUUACUUUCCAUGGAUAUGACCUUGACAACGUAUUAAAUGAAUAUAAAGUGUGUCUUCGAGCGUCCAGUUGGAAUAUUACCUAUCUGGCUCAGAGGUUGAAUUGACGUACUACAUGGGAGAUGGCGUUUUGGAUGAAUAUCUUGAAAAAACAUUCAGUAAACACAGCAUGUCUUCAGCAACAGAGCAAUGGUGUUCGGAGGGUAAUAAGUAUGUUGAUGUCAACAAACUGAAGACGUCCUCUUCUUUUUAUCCUAAGGGGAAAAUAAACACUGCAAGUCAGUGCACAAAUGACAUACAACUAUUAUAAAUCUAUCACAUGGAUUAUUGGUGGAACCAUAGGCGGAGUUGCUUUGGUUAUACUAUUAUUUUCCAUGAUAGUAAUAGUGAUUUGUUGUCGACGACGACGACAGAGUGCAGGAGUAGUGUACAACACACCGAAUGUGUAACACCAUAUUAACACAAUCAGGUGCUCAACAACUGGGUGAUGGGGGUUUCUCAAACCAAGGCUACUGGAAUCAUCAAGCACCACCGUCUUACUACCAUUCAACAAAUACACCAUAUCAAUCAACACAGGAAACCAAUAGACCAGGUGUACAUCAAAAGGAAUAAAUGACUAGGUUUUUCUCUGUUUGAUUCAUAAAGAUUUACCUCCUAC